UAUGUGUGUGUAUAUGUACAGGUACUCAAAUAUUCUGUCCAGUCAAUGUUCAGCAUAUAGAGAUGAUAUGCAGUUAAAUUAGGUAAUUAACCACGAAAAUUGCAAGUAAAGAUGAAAUAAAAAAUCCAAGCAAACACUGGCCAGAUUUCCUCAACCUUUCCAUAUCUGUACCAAACCAGUGAUCAGUUUUCCUCAAUAUCAGUGUAUACACCAUCAACAGAGAAACAGGAGAGGGUGACCCUAGGGGUUCCUUGUUCACCAACCUCCCUAGUCCCCCCCCCCCCCAAUUUUGUUGCUCUUCUUAUUUCUCCUUUCUCUUUUUCUUCAUUGCACUUUAUCCAUAUUACUGUCCAAAUAAAACCCAAAACAUCAGUAUGGUCAAGAUUAGACAAGAAACAAAAUUCAUGAUUUUUGGAAUUUCAGAAAAAAAAAAUCAAUAGGAAUUAUGGUUUUGAAAUAAUGGAUAGCGCUCAAUACUAUUGAAAACUCAUUUUUGAUACUUUUGGGACAAAGAUGACUGAUGACAAACAACCUACUAAAGUCUACUUGACUUGCUCAUUACUCAUAAGACCUAAGUAACCUAGUGCUCUGAUACCAACUUGUCACGAUCCAAAAUCUCGCUGGGGCCAUGAUGGCGCCUAACACUACUUGCUAGGCAAGCCAACAACUAAUAUACAUAAAUAAACUUUGAUAACAGUAUUAAACAGUCUUAAAUGCGGAAUAAUAUAAAUAAUUGAAUGCAAAAUAGCAUACAACUGAAAACCAUCCCAAAAUCUGGUUUUAUCGAGCACAUGAGCUCUAUAGAAUAAGUAGAUACAAGGUUUGAGCUAGAUACAAUACUGUCUGAAAGACUAAAUAGUAAUAAGAUGAAAUAAGGAAAGGGACUUCAAGGAUUGUGAAUGCAACAACAAUGCUACCUCAAAAUCUCCAAAUAGUCUAGAUCCGACUCACUAGCAGCUACCACAAUCAGCGACAUCUGAAUUUGCACAUGAAGUAUAAAGUAUAGUAUAAGUACAACUGACCGCAUGUACUCAAUAAGUAGCGAGCCUAACCACGGGCUGAAAGUAGUGACGAGCUUAGAAAGUUGCAAUACUCAUUUCCAACAACCAACAACAACAAUAAUAGCAUAAUAAUAAUAAUAACAAUAAAGGAAGAGUAGCUCAAUAACAUCAAAUUCAAUUUUAUCACAUUAAGAGAAAAAUAAGCAUGCUUUCCAAACAUAUCAGUCAAGGCAUCAGAUAUCAAAUAGCAUAAAGGAGAAUACAACUCUAUUCUUGUAUGACAAGUAUUCAUGCUAAAAUAAAUAACAUUACAGUGUAAUCAUCAAGUAAACACAAGUUUCAGCACACACAUUGUGCCUGCCAAAAUUACCCAUCGAUUAUACUCUCACCACGCUCAUGUUCCUAGAUUGAAGUCUUUGAAUCAUCACAAUAUUCACACCCAGCACUACACGGGUGUCUGGCAUAUGCCCCUCAUUAAGCACAUAUCAAGUGCAUGCACUCACAGAAUUAUACCUGAUUCCGGAGGGUCGAUCCUAGCUCAACCGCUGAUUGGAUCAAAAGUCAACAAUCAAUAUCACUCAGCCUAAUAUGGGGCCUGACACAACAUCUCCUCACAAUCAAUGUCAUACUCAACAGUCAAUGUCAUUUUACCCAAUAUGGGGCAUAGAUGUGAAUGUCACCCACAGUUAGUACUAACACGACCCUAUGGCCCAAGAUCAGCCAUCAAUCUGCUCAAGUCUCAAUAUGCUCAUAUCUCAUUGUACCAUACCCAUGAGUACCGCAUGGAUUAUGCCAACAUUCCAUAACUCAUCUCAAAUUUGUGUCACACAAAUAAGGACACUAAAAAUAGGUAAAAUAACAUAUAAAGAGUGCACAGGUAGAAAGUUAUAUGUGAAUAUAGUAUUGUGAGCAUCUAAUUUUUACCCUACAUGAAAAUAACUCCUAAAAAAUAGACCAAAAAUAAUUUUAAUUUGUUUUUAGGAAUUUUUCUUUAUUUAGUUGCAUUUCAUGCAUGUUUAAUGUUUUUAAAAUCAUGGAAAAAUCAUAAAUUUAACACGUUUAAAUUUCAUGCCAUCUUAGGUUGAAUUUGAAUGUAGGAAUUAAUUUUAUUAAGCAAAACAUCACAAAAAAUGGUCAUUUUUACAUAUUUAGAUUUUAGCCAUUAAAAUUAGCAUUUUUCUUUAGUUUUAAGUUAAUUAGUUGUUUUAAAGUUAAAAAUAGAUAAAUAAUUUUAAUUUCUACAAAAAUAGAUUGAUUUAGGAUUUUAAUUAAUUAAAAAAAAUAAAAGUGAAAAAAAUAAAGAAAAGGAAAAUAGGAAAAAUAUAUUUUAGUCUUGCUUCUUUUAAAAUUGGGUCAAUUCCUAAAAUGACCCAAUUAAUUUUUAAGACCCAAAUCCCUUAAGCCCAAGAUUGUCCAAAGCCCACCCACCUAAAACCCUCACUGAAUAAUCCCUUCCCAUUUUUCAUUUUUAGUGAUAGACCCAUGAGAAGACCUAAUAGACAUCAGAGAACUUAGAGGAGAUAAAAGAAAUCCUCUUCUCUCUCACGGAGAGUAAUGGCGCACCCCUCCCUUCUUCUUUUUUUCUUCAUUUUCUCAAAACCUAACACAGAACCCUCCCCCUUCAGCUAAAAAACAGAGCAGCAGCGCAGCUUUUUCCCUUCUUUUUCACUCCCUCAGAUCGAUGAACUUCCCCUUCUCUCACGAGCCUUCUUCCUCGAUUCUCAUCGGAAAACACACUCACUAUGAUACUCACACAAAGAUGAAGGCUCACCCACUCAUGAUUUGAAAAAAAUGGCUGAAACAAAGCCGAAAAAAUACAGAAAUGAAGCUCUAAAAAAUCAUUGAAAAGAAGAAGAGGAAAAUCGAUCAAAAAACGAAAUUAGAAAGCUCUUGUUCUCUGUCAAACAUCAGUUCAUAUACAUGUCAGUUUUUGGAUUUUUGAGGUAAUCGAGCUGCGAGAAAUCACAAAGUUCAAAAGUUUAAGAUAAAGAAAAAUCUGGAUUUUUGCCGCGUGCUUGUUGAGACUGCGGCUGUUGCUUCUUCAUUGUUUUUGUGCUCUUCGUUAACUUGACGUAAGUUUCUUUUCCUUCUCUUUUGGAUGUGAUAUGUUUCAGCUUUACCUUAAGAGAUUUUAGUUUGAAUAUUGGCGUUUGAAAGAAUCCAUUUUUUUAGGAAUUAUAUAUGAGCUUGACUUCAGUUGUUUUGAAUGAAUGUUAUAAAGAAACAAGAUACUUCUUUGUGGUAUUAGCUUAUUUAGAAUCAGUACUUUGUUUUCUAUUUAUAUGCUAUAAUGGUUAGAAAGGUUUUACUAAAUACUAAUGAGUUUAGGGGUUGAUUGAAGAGUAUCAAUCUUGUGGAUUUGUACUCUGAGUCUGAUUCUUUGUACUAGAACUAUUGAUACAAGUGAAUGAAAACAGAGUCUUUGCUAUUGCUCUAAUUCAAAUGAGAAUUCAUGGUCACUUCAGUAUUGUACCCAGAUCUUUUACGUAACUUCUGCUCUUACAGUACAUGAUACCAAUAAAUGAGACUUAUGUUGACAUUACUAGUGAUAAUUUAUGUAACGAUCCGCCCGGUCGUUUUAAGAAUUAACACCCCGAUCCCCUAUUAACUGCUUUUCCCGUGUUUAUUUCUGCUAUUUUGAUUUGCCGGGAUGCUUGACUUUGAGUUUUGGAGAGUUUUGGGACACUUAGUCCCUAAAUGAGAGUUUAAGUUUUAGAAAUUGGAUCGUAGUCGGAGCAGUAUGAAGACGACCUCGGAAUGGAAUUUCGUUGGUUCUGUUAGCUCCGUUGAGUGAUUCCAGGCUUAGGGGCGUGUCCGGGUUAUGUUUUGGAGGUCCGUAGCUAAUUUAGGCUUGAAAUGUCGAAAGUUGAAUUUUUGAAGUUUCCGGUUCGAUAGUGAGAUUUUGAUAUCGGGGUCGUAAUGGAAUUCCAAAAGUUGGAGUAGCUCGUAGUGUUGAAUGUGACAUGUGUGCAAAAUUUCAGGUCAUUCAGACGAGGUUUGAUAGACCUUUUGAUCGAAAGCAUAAUUUAAGAGUUUUUGGAAUUCUUAGGCUUGAAUCUGAUGUAAAAUUAGUGUUUUGAUGUUGUUUUGAGCAUUCUGAAGAUUGGAACAAGUUUAAAUGAUGUUUUAGGAUUGGUUGGAAUGUUUGGUUGAGGUCCCGGGGACCUUGGGUGUAUUUCGGAUGCUCAACGGGUCAUUUUGGAACUUGUUGGAAUUGCUGAAAUGCUGGUAUGUGGUUUCCUUAAUCGCGUACACGUCUUUCCCUCCGCGUUCGCAUAGUGUAAUUUCGGAGGAUGAUUUAAUUGUUCUUCGCGUUCGCAUGUUUUGGCUUGCGAUCGCAGUAGUCUGCCCCCUCCUCCUUCGCGUUCGCAUCCCUCUGUUCGCGUUCGCGUAGUAGAACUAGGAGUGGGGUGGUACUGUGACCAUUUACUCUACGUGUUCGCAUUGUCCUUUCCGAGAACGCGUAAGCCUGCCUUUCCCUUUUCCGCGUUCGCUGGCUUUAUCAUGCAUUCGCAUAGCCCAGUUCAGGAGCCAUCAGAUUUUCCUCUUCGCGAUCGCACCUCAUUUUAUGUGAUCGCGAUAUACAAAUACUUGGGCAGUAUUUAAAUAGCCAAUCCGCGACCCUUCUUCAUUUUUCUACCAUUUUUAAACGGGAUUGAAGCUUUUGAGGGAGAUUUUUGAGGAAACCAAAGGGGAAUCACUUGGAGGUAAUAUUCUUGACUUCAUAACUCGUUUAUAUGUGAUUAAAAGUCUAAUUAGUGGUGAAAAUUUAGGAAAAGAUUAGUGCAAAAUGGGUAAUUAGGGCUUAAGAUUAAGAGACCUUAAAAUGGGUAUUUGAGGGGUCAAUUGAACUCCGAUUUCAGUGUUUUUGAUAUGUAUAAACUCGUGAGAGUACGAGGAUUCCGAAAAUGUAAAUUUUACCCGAUUUCGAGUCGUGGACCUGUGGGCGUUUUUGUCAUUUUACCUAAUUUUGCGUAUUAGCUUAGAAUUUAUUUGUAGAAUCAGUUACUUGAGCCGGUUCGAGGUAAGUGGCUUGUCUAACCUUGUGUGGGGGAAACUCCUCUUAGGAUUUGGUAUUAUUGAUAAUUGAAAUGCCUUGUACGUGAGGUGACGAGUGCGUACUUAUGCUAAUUGUUGAAAAUCCGGUUUUCAUUAAAGUAAUUACUUGUAUGUUUCUCUUCCUGUUUAUACUACUUGCAAUUUAAGCUUGUUGUUAGCUUAGGAAAGCAUGUCUAAUUGACUUAAUUGCCUUAUUUGUAUUACGUGCAACAUGCUCGGUUAGAAAUACCUAUUUUACCUUAGUAUGGAACUUGAAUUGAACUGUGUACUCUUCUUAUUGUUGCUGUGUAUUUACUUUGAGACUACGGGAUAGUAUCCCGGGUGAUUCCCAUGUAUGUUUAUUUUGGGACUACAGAACGGUAUUCCGGGAGAUCCCCCUGCACAUUUACAUUGGAACUACGGGACUGCACUCGGUAGAUUUUCCCUGUACUGAGUAUUUACAUUUGGGACUAUGGAUCAGUAUUCCGGGAGAUUCCCUUGCAUUAUGAGUUGGAUCACGGGAUGGUAUCCCGGGAGAUCCACUGAAUAUUUAUAUUUGAAACUACAGGACAGUAUCCUGGGAGAUCCCCGAUUGUUAUCUUUGUGCUGAGCUGUAUUUCUUUUUGUGUUUACUUUGCCUAUGUAGUAGUUGUUGUUGUCCUUUAUAUCCUGUGUUACUUUUACUGUUGCACUUACUUAUACUAUUUUGUUUUACACUGUUGAACCUUAUAUUUUAUUUAACCUCAGUAGGGCUCUGACCUUCCUCGUCACUACCCGACCGAGGUUAGGCUUGACACUUGCUAAGUACCGUUGUGGUGUACUCAUGCCUUUUCUGCGCAUGUUUUUCAUGUGCAAAUCCAGGUACUUCCAGUCAGACUUAUCACACUUGAGACGAGGCGCUUGUAGAGACUCCGAGGUAUAUCUUCUCCGUCCGCAGACCGAAGAGUCCCUUUCUACUCUCCUUUUAAGUAUUAGCCCUUCUGUAUUUCUUUUUUUUUUUUGUUAGAUAUUCUGGAGUUAGACACUAUAGACAUUCAAAAGCUUGUGUUUCAUGAGAUUCCGAGUUUUGGAAAAUGUUGUUAGUUUCGAGAGUUGUUAUUGUAUGUGCCGAGCGGCACCUUAAACACUGUUUUAUUUACUAUUUCGGUUUUAAUUAUUUCUUCCGCAAAUUUUUGUUUAUUUUCCGCAUUGUUAGGCUUACUUAGUCAUAGAAACUAGUUGCCGUCACGAUGGUUCACGGAGGGCGAAUCGGGGUUGUGGCAAUUUAUUAUUUGAAGUUCAUAUCAAGCUUUUCCGAUGUUAAUUUUUUUUUCUGAAUUUAGAUGUCAAUACAAUUCUGCCUAAAAUAGUUUAUGACUUCUCCUGUAUCUUAUCUGUGAAGAUUAGUAUUAAUUGUUUUCAUCGUUAUUGUAGUCGACGGAACAGUUCUAGUUAUGGCUAGCAUGAAAUCGUUUGGUGGAUUAUUGAAUACUCAGUUGCUUAAUUUCAUUUGGAUAUGUGAAAGCUGUAAUUGGAUAGUUCUGUCAUUGGUGAUUAAUUUGGGAUAAACAGACUAAUGUUACGAUGUUAGGCCAAGGCUUUGAAGUCCAUUGGGACUUAUUUCGUGAACAUUAAUAAGUAAUCUAGGAAACUGAUUAUCUUCAUUCUUAGUCUACUUUUCACUGACGUUCAACUAAAAAAUGAACUCCAUAACUGCGUGUCCUUGCAAUAAUCUAAAAGUAGUUUUAGGAAGAAACGGUUAAAUCAUGAACAUUGUAGCUUGCUUUAGGCGCGAUUAAUUUUAAAUCAUUGUGACUGUGGGUACGGUUCCCGUGGCAUAAUUAUGAUACAUAAUUCCCAAAUUCGGGUGUGUAUUUCAUGUGACCUGACCAUAACUACUUUGAAUAAUAAUAAAAUAAACAUGUCGCAAAUCGCGGGUGCAUUUCAUGUAGCGUUGUUUGCAAUGUGUUCCAAAACGGCCAGUGUACGACAAUCGUAACUUGUUCAAGAAAUAAUUCCAUAAAUCCUAAAAGCAGUUUAAAAUAAUAAAAAGCGGUUAUAAAGUUAAAAAUGCACAAUAUGUUUGAAACGUGUAAUUAAUCAGAUAAUUAGGCCAAUUAUUAAUAGUUAAGCGACCAUGCUCGAACCACGAAACUCGAAAAUGCCUAACACCUUUUUCCGGGUUAACAGAAUUCCUUACCUAGAAUUUCUGGUUUCGCAGACUUUUAAAUAAAGUCAAAAUUCUCCUCGAUUUGGGAUUUAAAAUAAACCGGAGACUUGGGACACCGUAAUAAUUAUUCCAAGUAGCGACUCUUAAAAUUAAAUAAAAAUAAUCUCAUUUCGAUUAAUGUCACUUUAAUUGGAAAAACUCCCUUAUAUCCCCUCUCGAGUGGUAAAAGAAAGGUGUGACAGCUCUGACGACUCUGUUGGGGAUAAAAACCCAAAAUCUCUGGUUCAGGAUUCAAGAAUUUGAGCUUAGAAUAAUUGUUAUAUUUGGCUUUUAUUUAUUAUCUGAUUUUUAUUACAUGCUUGGGCCUAAUGUGCUAAAUGCCCUUUUUUACCGCUUUGAUAUUAUUUGAACUAUAUAUAAAUUGCUGCGAAACCCUUCUCUUCUAAUCUUCUAGGAAGUGCAUGUUGGCGUGACUUCUUUUCUGUUAGUAUCGUAUCCCAAUUUAGGAACGAGGUUCGGACAAGUUGUAAAACCGGAUGAUCUUUUGGUUACCAGUACGCUGCUCCCCUCCCCCCCUCCCCCGGCUCGAGUUGUCCGCUAGGGUAAGACAGGUUUAGAACAAUACACCUAGGUUUUUAAACCUAGAAUAACAUAACCUCAUGACAGAUCCCUAGUAGGUACGUUUGUUUGCAUCACGUGCAUUUGACUUUAGGGACUCAACACAGGGGUUGAGUCCGUUUAGGACAGGUGUACCCAAAUUAAAAAGACCAUCCUGAUGCAUCUUACGUGCUACUUGCGCAUCUGUUUGUUUCGGCUUGCAUGUUGACCGGCUUCUAGAAUAGGGAAAGAAAAUCAAAAAAAAAAAAGAAAAAAAAUCAAAAACAAGAGUGAGAGGUAGGUAUUUGAAAAAUUCCGAAACUCUACUGAAAUUCUGGAAAAAAAAAAAAGGAAAAAAGAAAAAGAUAAGGUUAUUUCAAAAUGAGCCCAAAAUCUUCAAGUGACAUGUUUCCCUGUUCCGUCAAAACUGACCGAACUACGCGGGUCUGAUUCUCACCGGAUGUGAGAUACGUAGGCAAACCUCAUCGGUUCCGACCCCAAUUUUUUUAAAAAUUCAAAAAUAUUUUCCUUUAAUUCCUUCUUUAGAAGCAUUUCCUUAGAAAAUUCAAAAAAAAAGAGUUUUGUUCUUUCUAAAGUCUUUCAUAUGUAAAAGAAAAAAGAAAUAUAAAAAAAUCAAUCAAAUCCAAAAUACGGGUUUCCUUUAUUUUGAAGUAUUUUUCUCAAAAAUUCAAAAAAAAUUAGAAAUAAAAAUCCAAAAAAUAUUCUUUUCUUAUUUAGAAGUCUUUCUUUUGUAAAUGUCAUAAAAAUUUGAGAAAUAAAAGUCCAAAAAUAUUUUCGUUUUUCUUUAAAAGUAUUUUCGUAAAUUAAAAAAGAAGAGAAACUCAGAAAUCCGAAAUGUUUUCUUCAAAUUCCUUCUUUCAAAAAUCUACAAGUCAAAUCAAAAUCCAAAAAAAAAUUAUUAUUCUACCUUUUUAAGAAGUCUUUUUCCCAAAAUUCAAAGAAUAAAUAAAUUAAAAAUCCAAAAAAAAAAGUUCUUUCUUCUUUAGAAGUCUUUCUUUCAAACAUUUCAAACAAGAAUCAAAACAAAAAUCCAAAAAUAAAAAUUAUUUCUUCCUAUAAAGCCUUUCUUUCAAAAAUUCAAAAAAAAUACGAAAUAGAAAAAAAUAUGUUUUUCUUUUUCUAAAAAGCUUUCAUGGUCUGAGUUGUAUAAAAACUAAGCAAAAAGAGAGUGAGCUUAUUUACUCUAUUCUUGAUCUUUCCGAACUACGCAAGAUCUGAUUCAUGCGGCGUCAUGAUACAUAGGUAAUUCCCAUCGGAUUCGAUCAUAGCUAUAAAAUAAAACUGAGUGAAAAAUAAUUUGAAUAAAAAGAGAGAAAGAAAAAAUUGAGUGAAAAAGAAAGAAAAGAGCGACAAAACAAAAACAAAAAGAAAAAAAGGGAGGGACUAAAAAUAAAAGAGUGACAAACAAAAAGAAAAAAAGAGAGUGCCAAAAAUAAAAGAGCGGCAAAAAUGAGAUGAAAAAUCAAGAGUGAUUAAAGAGAGGCAGAAAUGAAGAAAAGAGGUACAGAGUGAAAAGGGUUAGUUAAGGUCGGGAUGAAACAUGCAACCGUUCAAACACAUGGUAGAAACGUUUAACUGUUUAGGUGCAUUAUAUCCAAACGUGCGAUUUCCUAUCUUUAUGCUGUCAAAUGGCGUGAGCAAGCUGCCAGGGUAAAGCCUCCAAUGGACGAAAUUGAAAUGGUCACUGCCUUUCUACAGGCCCAAGAGGCAGACUACUUCCAAAACAUGAUGUCCGCUAUGGAUAAGCCGUUCGCUGAGGCUAUCAAAAUUGGGGAAAUGGUUGAAAACGGUUUAAAAACAUGUCGAAUCUUGAGUCAUGGUGCUUUUAUGGCCACAUCACAGGCUGCUCAGAAUGGUUCCGAGGGUUUAAUGAAUAGAAAUGGGAGUGAAGAGGGAGCCAUGAUAGUUUCAAGCUCGAGGGGGCUCGCAGGUCAUUCAGCCAAUCAUAUGCGCCUCCUAUGGUCCCACCACACUAUUAUCCCCUUCAAGAUGAUUUUUAUGCCGUGGCACCGCCUCCCUAUGCGGUGAUGGACGCGCAACCUUACAUGUGGCCACAACAUUAUCCACAAAACCGAGCUCCACCUCCUAGAAAUGCCCAUCCGUACCAAGCUCCAUAUAAUCCUCAACCAAAUGAUCCACAAUACUAUCCUCGCCUAAGAGAGCCUUUUAGAAAGAAUCAGUUCACCCCUAUUGGUGAAUCGUAUUCAAGCUUGUUCCAAAAGCUAAUCAAGCUAGAUCUAUUGUAGUCAGUGGCCCCGAACCGGUCGAACCCCGAGUCCCCCUCGCACCGAGCUGAUGCUAGAUGUGAAUACCACUCUGGGGUAGUAGGACAUAGUACGCAAGACUGUUGGACCCUUAAAAGGGCAGUUGAAGACUUGAUUGAAGCAUUUUUCGGGAUGAAGAAGCUCCUGAUAUGAUGAACAAUUUGUUGAUAGCCCACAACACUAGGCCAAUAGUCGGAAUGAUUUAUGAAGAUGGGAAAUUUGAUCUGGCACUGAAGGCUAUUGUAGUCAUUGCCGAAACAGAAGAAAAGUCGAAAGACGGUCGCCAAGCCUGAAAGUUCCCCAUCAAAUGGGAGUCUUGGUACCAGUCUUGAUAUCCUUUCUGCGUCCGGAUUAUCUCAGGGUCAUCCGGAUGUUCUACUUAUUAUCUUACUUUCUGAUGUAAACCCUUCUAUCUUUGAAUUUUAAAAAAAAUCAUCAAAAAAAAAUCAAAAAACAAAUAAAAUUAAUAUUUCAUUGUCCAGGAAUGUCUCUUUUCUUAAUUUCACUUUUCUUAUUCUCUUUUUAGUUCUGUUAAAUGCAGAUUUCAAUAACAUGACAUGCUUGCAGACUUUAUGCCCAGAUCCUGAAACGCUGUCAGACCUCAAAAUAAUGAAUCAAGUAUUAGAUCGCAAUAAAGAUAAGUUUAAGGAAAUAAAAUAAAGAGUUGGAAUAACUGAAGGAAAAUUGGUUCCGGGUUGGAAAGGUUCAUGUAUUGCAACAAGAGUACUACCAAAAGAGUGUUGUACUUGGGACACAUCGAGGGAAAUGUCCCUGAAAUAAUUGUCAAUGCAAAUGCAACCAAAAGGUACUAUGUUGGAUCCUCUAUAUAUCAUUAAUAUUCUCCGAUUGGGAUGAAGAAGGCUUUCUUUCUCACUAUCCAAAUAUUCAACCCUUUGUAAUCCCUUUGAGUCAGCUCUCAUUCUUUGAUUACUCUCUUUGGAACCUGGAAGUUAUUAUUGAAAAAUGAUGAAUGAAAAAUGAAAAGAGAAUAAAAUAAAAAUACAUAAAAAAAAAGAGGAAGAAAAGGGAAAAAAGAAAAUGAAAUGAAAAAAAAUGAUGAUGAAAAAAAAGAGAGAGGAAAAAGGAAAGGAAAAAGAAAGAGAAAACAAAAGAAACCCAAAAACAAAAGUUUCCUGAACUAUGUUUGACUUGAUUCCGAAAGGAUACGUAGGCAUCCUCUCUAGGGUUCAGUCACACCAAAAUAAAAAUCCAAAGUUCCCCAAAAGUUGAAACUGGGGCAGAAGUUAUAAUGGUUCGGCGAUGGUUCGACUUAAAGGUUCCAAAGUUGUAAUCCAAUCCAAACCCUUUUUACCCCAAAUCUUGUUCAAGCCCUUCCGAUCAAUCGGUAAAGAUGUUCAAAAUUGGAGGAUAUGGUUCCUUGGAUCAGAUACAAUCAAAUGAGAGAAAUAAAAUAAGAGAGUCUUAUUGGUGAAAACUCAUACGGUCACCAUAGGGCGAUGGUAAGCAGAGAAAUUGAAAAUGAGAGAGGUCAGUUGGUGAAAACCCGCAAAGGGUGCCACUGAUCGAAAAAGGGAUCCCUUACAACCAUCGGUACCGACAGAGUCCUGACAAGGUUUUUCGAUUUUGAGGCAAAAGUUGUGAUGAAUUUCUGAGAGUCGGACGGUUUAUGCAGAUCAGGCAUCCAGUCCAAAAGGCAUGUCAUGUUCAUUUAAGUCCGCAUGUACUCCAGAUAAGUCCUUCUUUCCUUUCCCCGAAAGGGAUACUUCUUGUUUUAAACUCAUUCUCCAUUNNNNNNNNNNNNNNNNNNNNNNNNNNNNNNNNNNNNNNNNNNNNNNNNNNNNNNNNNNNNNNNNNNNNNNNNNNNNNNNNNNNNNNNNNNNNNNNNNNNNNNNNNNNNNNNNNNNNNNNNNNNNNNNNNNNNNNNNNNNNNNNNNNNNNNNNNNNNNNNNNNNNNNNNNNNNNNNNNNNNNNNNNNNNNNNNNNNNNNNNNNNNNNNNNNNNNNNNNNNNNNNNNNNNNNNNNNNNNNNNNNNNNNNNNNNNNNNNNNNNNNNNNNNNNNNNNNNNNNNNNNNNNNNNNNNNNNNNNNNNNNNNNNNNNNNNNNNNNNNNNNNNNNNNNNNNNNNNNNNCUAAUAUGCAAAAAGGCACCCAGCCUCGUCAGGGGGAUCAAGUCGACGUCGACCGGCCAUAACGGCUGAUGUUUUGAAAUUGAAAACUCUUGGAAGGAGAAAAUCAAAUUGAAGUGUCUAUAAAGGCAAAUGAAGUUGAAAAGGUUGAGACCCACGUGGCUAACCAUCUCGGCAAGGAUUGAAAAAUCAAGGUAUCCCAAAUGCUCUGAAAUUAAAGUAGGAAGAAAGAAGCUAGAAAUGAAAGGCCUACGAAGGUGAAAUAAAGUUGAAAAAGGUUAAGUCCCACGCGAUUAGCCGUUGCAGCAAGUUUGAGGAGCCAAAAAGUUCGCCAAUGCUCCGAAGAGUCAGAAGUGAAAGGCCUACAAAGGCAAAAUAAAGUCGAAAGGUUUGAGUUCCACAUGAACAACUGUCAUGGCAAAGUCGGGAAAAGCUAGAGGUUCUCCAGGGUCAGAAAUGAAAUCCGUCUUCAAGGAACAAGCAGUUGCAGUUGAAAUCUUCAUCAAAGAAGUCAGGCCGAAAUCAAGUGACUGAAGCGCUCAAGGCCACAAAAUCAACCACCAUUUCAAACUGACAAAUUGUUCUUUGUUUGAAAGACAGGAAAUAGGUGCAAUCCAAAAGCAACCUUACAAGAAGCAGGUGCAACCAAAAAGAAAUUGUGCAAGGGCUAGAAACAACUCUACAGCAAUAAUCAAUUCAAAAGGGAAGUCUCCUCCAAAUUCUUUCCUGCAUUUUAUUUAUUUUCUUAAAAAAAUGCCAAAAAUGAAAUGAAAAGAAAAAGAAGAAAAAUUCAAAAUCAUGAUAGCAUAGGGUUUCCAGUCUCUAGCUACGUCUUUUCCAACAUAGGGUCUCAUUCCCUAGUCGAUGCUAGCAUAACCUGGUAAUUUUUUCCAACAUAUGGUCCCACUCCCUAGUUAUUUCCGGCAUAACCCGAGAGCUUCCCCGGCAUAAACCGAGGACCUUUCCAGCAUAACCCGAUAAUUUUUCCGGCAUAACCUGAGGACCUUUCCAGCAUAACCCGACGACUUCCCCGACAUAACCCUAGGACCUUUCCGGCAUAACCCGAUGACUUCCCCAGCAUAACCGGAGGACCUUUCCGGCAUAACCCGGGGACCUUUCCGGCAUAAUCCGAUGACUUCCCCGGCAUAACCCGAGGACCUUUCCGGCAUAACCCGAUGACUUCCCCGGCAUAACCCGAGGACCUUUUUCAACAUAACCCGAUGACUAUCCCGGCAUAACCCGAGGACUUUUUCGGCAUAACUCGAUGAUUUUGCCAGCAUAACUUGGUAAUCUUUUCCAACAUAGGGUCCCACCUUUUAGCUCUGCUAGCAUAACCCGGUAAUCUUUUCCGGCACAGGGUCCCAUUCCUUAGUUGAUGCCAGCAUAACCUGGUAAUCUUUCCAACUUAGGAUCUCCGAUCCCCAUUUGAUUUCAUUUUAGAUAUAGGGCUCCACUCCCUAAUCUCUUUUCUCCCAAGGAUACACAAUCCUGAUUUUAUUGCUUUCAAUAAAGAAGUAGUUUAGAUUUUUGUUACAAUAAAUCACGAAAUUUUUCUAGUGAAACUUGGGGCAGAAAAUUUCGUUCGUUUGUUUGUUUUGGUGCCUGAGCAGGUUUUUACCUUGAGGUACAAGUUUUGAGGCGAUCAAAAGAAGAAAUCUCGAUUCAAAUAAAAGAAAAGAAAAACAAGAAAAGAAGUGAACUCUAAGUGUAAAAGCAGAGAAAAGAUGCGGAGUGCUCAAGAUAUGUUUGAAGUCACAAGUUUUGCAUGUCCCACCUUAAUCCGAAAAGCUGAAGAAGAAUGAACCAGCGAUUGCAGCUAACGAGCAUCAAGAUUCAGAUCAGAGUCUGUAGGAAGAACCAGUCAAGACUCAAGAUCAAGCUUUAUAAGGUUUAUAGAUAGGAAUCUUGUAACUCAUAGUUGAUAGGCUUAGCUAGUUUAGCUUUUCAUCUUUCAUUUUGGUGUAAUAAGGAGCUCGAGCAAGUAGAAACAGCAGAAACAGCAGCAACAACAGUGAAAUCACGGUUUCUCGAUAGUCCCAGCUACCAAAACUUUCAGAACUACACUUAUCUGAUUCCUUUAUAGCCAAGGAUAUGUAGGCAACCUCUGAAGCAAGGUUCAGUCAAACUUUUUUAGAAUGCUUCCAAAUGGAGUAUCAAACGGACAAAAAUUACUCGUAAUUACUCACCUUAUCUUUGCCCGAAAACUCUUCAUGUUUUCGAGCAAAGAGGGGCAGCUAUGAGCAUCUAAUUUUACCCUACAUAAAAAUAACUCCUAAAAGAUAGACCAAAAAUAAUUUUAAUUGAUUUUUAGGAGUUUUUCUUUAUUUAGUUGCAUUUCAUGCAUGUUUAAUGUUUUUAAAAUCAUAGAAAAUUCAUAAAAUUUAUCACAUUUUAAUUUCAUGAUAUCUUAGGUUCCAUUUGCAUGUAGGAAUUAAUUUUAUUAAGCAAAAAAUCACAAAAAAAAUAAUCAAUUUUACAUAUUUAGAUUUUAGCUUUUAAAAUUAGUAUUUUUUCUUUAGUUUUAAGUUAAUUAGUUAUUUUAAAGUUAAAAAUAGAUAAAGAAUUUUAAUUUCUACAAAAAUAGAUUGAUUUAGGAUUUUAAUUAAUUAAAGAAAAUAAAAAAGAAAAAAAUAAAGAAAAAAAUAGGAAGAAUAUAUUUUGGUCUUGUUUCUUUAAAAAUUGGAUCAAUUCCUAAAAUGACCCAAUUAAUUUUUAAGAUCCAAAUCCCUUCAACCUCAAGAUUGUCCAAAGCCCACCCACCUAAAACCCUCACUAAAUAAUCCCUUCCCAUUUUUCAUUUUUGUAGAUAGACACAUGAGAAACCUAAUAGACAUCACAAAACUUAGAGGAGAUAAAAAAAAUCCCCUUCUCUCUCACAGAGAGUAACAGCGCACCCCUCCCCCUCCCUUCUUUUUUUCUUCAUUUUCUCAAAACCUAACACAGAGCAGCAACGCAGCUUUUUCCCUUCUUUUGAGCUCCCCAGAUCGACGAACUUCCCCUUCUCUCACGAGCCUUCUUCCUCAAUUCUCAUUGGAAAACACACUCACUAUGACACUCACACGAAGAUGAAGGCUCACCCACUCACGAUUAGAACAAAAAUGGCUGAAAUAGAGUCAAACUUUUUGUUCGGGUAAGAAAUUCUGUUAACCCAGGAGAAGGUGUUAGGCAUUCUCGGGUUCUGUGGUUUUAGCACGGUCGCUCAACUAUUAUUAUUGGCUUAAUUAUCUUUUUUUUUACACGUUUUAAACAUAUGUGCAUUUUUAACUUUAUCACCGCUUUUAUUUGUUCAAAGAAUUAAUUCAAGGUUAUUUAAAAUGCAUCGCAAGCCACGCUACAUGAAAUACACUUGCGGUUUACGACACGUUCUAUUUAACCUUGUUGGAAAUUAGAACCGGGUCAAAUGAAAUAUACACUCGAAUUUUAGUAGUAGCCAUGAUAGUUAUAUAAUUAAUGCGCCUAAAGCAACUACGAACAUUCCCUUUUUAGUAUCUAAGUUAUAAAAUUAUGUGAGGGCCAUGAGUGAUUCAAUUAUGGAUGACACACCUCAAUUUAGUUUGAAAAUCAUAACUAUUAUUUUUUUUCUAAAAUUAUGUUGACAUGAAAUAUAAGGCUAAGAGUAUUGAACUAAUACGUAAAGAUAUAGAGGCAAAUGGUAUUCAACCAUCCAGCGAUGCACGCUGUCUCUUAAGUCUUAUUUUUGAGCCAAAUUGAGUUAUUUGUUCCAACUAAGCAAUUGAAAAAUUCAACAGCCUUUUCUUUUUUCUUUCACAAGAGCACAAGGGUGUAUAUCCUAUAACUUGAAAACCAAACGAUCAAAUAUAGUAAAUAGCACAUGAAGCCAAUUAACAAAUAAAAUAACAUCUCAUUCUGCCAAACAAAGCAACGAGGUAGUACCUCAAAUGUAUUAAACUUGAACAACAGGAACAAAAAGGGGGGGAAACCAAUACCAGGCAGCCAUUAAAACACAGCAAUGAACCAUAUAUCAAAUAUUAAGCAUGCUAUUAAGCCAAAUCAACCAGUAAACAUUCAGGCAGCGUUGCAAGAAUCGGACCUUAUAGGACUUAGAGCAAAAAAACAGAAAUCUGGAUCCGAUUUUGGGCUGUGAUCGAAACCUCCACGAACCACCAAUUUGCCCGGACACCUCAAACGGACAACCUCGAUUUAAAAUGAUGCCACUACCACAGCAAUGGCGACACUGGAGCAACAGUCAAAGACACACAAGAAGGACUCGCCAAAGAACUAACUCCAGCCAAACUCGACACAAAACGUCACAAAUCCAGAACUUGAAAGAUCUCAACUCGUCCGACAUAGAAGUACAACACACUAGUUCAAUUGGAACCCGUUUUUAGAACUAACAUCAGAGAUUGGGAGUGAAGAAAGUAGAACAUUUUUGUUUUUGACUGUGUGUGGAGGUCGACGGUCUUCAUGGAGUCUCGCCGGUUUUCAUGGUGUUGUCCUCGUGAAGAAGAAGAUCAGGUUAGGGGGGAGGGUCGUGUAUUCCAGUUGAAGAAGAAGCAGAACGUGGGAUCGUUGUUUGGGUGUAACGGCGAGUUCGCCGUUGUGGUGAGUAGGGGUGGGCGUUCGGUAUUUCGGUUCGGUAUGUAAGAAUUUCGGUUCGGUAUUUUGGUAUUCGGUUUAUCAAUUGUGUAUACCAAAUACCAUACCAAAAUAUUUUGGUACGGUUCGGUAUUUCUUAUUUUGGUUCGAUACGGUUUCGGUUUAAUAAUCAAUGAAUAAUCAAUGCUAAGUGCUAACAGUGCACAUGCACAAUUGAAAUUUUCACAUAGCAAUUCACAAUGUGCACAUCUGCACAAUGUAACAGUGCACAACUGCACAAUGUGCGCAUGGCUGAAACAAGAAUAACAUAUUAUAUUUUGGCAAUUCUGGCCAACUGCAAUUAACACUUGACAGUUCAAUACUGCAAUUAAAUCUGUACACAAACACAACUACACAACACAACUGGCCAAUUGCAAGUCUGCAACAGUCUGCACAUUAUACAACUUAACUGGCCAACUUAACUCAAUACUGCAAUUAACUGGCCAACUGCACAUUACACAACUUAACACUUAACACAGUACACAAUUGAAUCUGUACACAACUACACAACACAUUACACAACUUAACACUUAACACUUAAACACAAUGCAAUAAAAAUACAAUCCAACUUAACANNNNNNNNNNNNNNNNNNNNNNNNNNNNNNNNNNNNNNNNNNNNNNNNNNNNNNNNNNNNNNNNNNNNNNNNNNNNNNNNNNNNNNNNNNNNNNNNNNNNNNNNNNNNNNNNNNNNNNNNNNNNNNNNNNNNNNNNNNNNNNNNNNNNNNNNNNNNNNNNNNNNNNNNNNNNNNNNNNNNNNNNNNNNNNNNNNNNNNNNNNNNNNNNNNNNNNNNNNNNNNNNNNNNNNNNNNNNNNNNNNNNNNNNNNNNNNNNNNNNNNNNNNNNNNNNNNNNNNNNNNNNNNNNNNNNNNNNNNNNNNNNNNNNNNNNNNNNNNNNNNNNNNNNNNNNNNNNNNNNNNNNNNNNNNNNNNNNNNNNNNNNNNNNNNNNNNNNNNNNNNNNNNNNNNNNNNNNNNNNNNNNNNNNNNNNNNNNNNNNNNNNNNNNNNNNNNNNNNNNNNNNNNNNNNNNNNNNNNNNNNNNNNNNNNNNNUCUACAAAGCUAAAUGGUAGUUCAUCAGUAACUAUCAUCUCAAUUAAGGCCCUCCUAACCACUUUUUGAUCAAAUUUCCAAAUUGAUCCUUCAUCAUUUUGGCAAGAUUGAAAAUUUAUCUUUGUUUGACUAUUAUCUUCUGCAAUUUUAAGUAGGUAUUCUUUGCAUCUAAGCAAAUGAUUCUUCAAUCCUGUUGUUCCAUUCUUAGAUGAAUUAGCAGCAUAAGCUUGUUUACAAUAUCAACAUCGUGCUUUCCCAACCCCAUUAACUUCAAAUUUAUCAAAAUGGUUCCAAACGUCGGACCUAGGUUGCAUUGCUUUCCUUUUCUUGGAAUCUUGAGUAUCAAUGGUGUUGGUGUUACUAUCUACCGUAAUAGGUAAACUUUCACUAGAACCAACAUCACUUACUUUACUUGUAUCUUCCAUCUAUACAAAAUUAAACAAAUAUAAACAUAAAUUAAAAAUUAACAAAUUAACUACCUUGCUAUCAGUAAUACUGAGAGAAUGUAAAUAUGAGAGUGCACUUUUAGAUUUUAGUUAUUUCAAACUAGCUAUAAGUAGCUUAAACUACCAUGUUUCUGCUAUAACGAAUUAACAAUAUCUUUCCAACAGAUGCAGCAGUAGUCUAAUGUAACUGCAGCUAAGCAAAAGCUAAAAAGGCUAAAGAAGCCAUUAACAAUAUCCUUUUCUAGCCAUCUAUAAAUAAAUAAAAAACCAUGACCAUUACUACUCAAGUGACAAGUCCACACUCCACAAUUAUUUAAAUCUUUCCAAACCAUCAACCAUAAGAAUGUCACAACAAAGAAGACUAACAGUGAAUUCACUCAACUGUCUUCAUCCUAAAGUGUCUAUCACAAGAAAAAUGCAAGGAAAGUUCUAAAAAUCAGACCUAAACAAAGUAAUCAUAUGGUAAGCCUAACACAUAGUCGUGUACUCACAACUGUUAUUAUACAAGCAAAUGAAUUAAACAGCAUGAACAUGAUACAGAUGAUAUUUUCCUACUAAAGGGAAAAGCUCGGAACAUCAGUUCAUUCAAUCAGCAGUACAACCAAAAGAAAGCGAAACAUACCUUUGAAAUUGAAAUUGAAUCGAGCUCGGAACACUGGAACAGGACAGCAGCGUCUUCGACACUUCGUUUGCCCGGAAUUUGUGAGGAGUGAGGAAUCGAAUCGAGUUGGAAAUCGCCGGCUAUAACCCUAAAUUAGUUUGAUGCAGAAAAUCAGAAAUUAAAAAAUUUAUGCGUCUGAACUCUGAACUCAAAAAGUUCAAAACUUAAAAAUAUAAAAACUCAGAAAAAACCUCAGAGAGUAGUCGAGUACUGGGAUGAGAAUGAGAUGAGAUGAGACUUACAAAACUUACAAAAGUAGUGAAGUUAACCGGUGAAGAUGAGAUGAGACUCGAGCUCGACUGUCGACUGGUCGUAACUCGUAAGUCGUAACUCGUAGACUGAUAUCCUAAGCAGUCGAUUCUCGUCUAGACUCGCAGACUGAUAUCCUAGACUCGCAGUCGAUUCUCAUCUUCUUCUUCUCGAUGAUAUCUUUCCUAAGCAGUAAGCCCUAAUGGCUAAUGCCCUACUUUGAUGAGAAUGCC
rnacentral:lncRNA from 1 species